rnacentral:rRNA from 1 species
GAUGAACGCUGGCGGCGUGCCUAAUACAUGCAAGUCGAGCGAACAGAUGAGGAGCUUGCUCCUCUGACGUUAGCGGCGGACGGGUGAGUAACACGUGGAUAACCUACCUAUAAGACUGGGAUAACUUCGGGAAACCGGAGCUAAUACCGGAUGAUAUAUUGAACCGCAUGGUUCAAUAGUGAAAGACGGUUUUGCUGUCACUUAUAGAUGGAUCCGCGCCGCAUUAGCUAGUUGGUAAGGUAACGGCUUACCAAGGCAACGAUGCGUAGCCGACCUGAGAGGGUGAUCGGCCACACGGGAACUGAGACACGGUACAGACUCCUACGGGAGGCAGCAGUAGGGAAUCUUACGCAAUGGACGAAAGCCUGACGGAGCAACGCCGCGUGAGGGAUGAAGGUCUCCGGAUCGUAAAACUAUGUUAUUAGGGAAGAACAAAUGUGUAAGUAACUAUGCACGUCUUGACGGUACCUAAUCAGAAAGCCACGGCUAACUACGUG